CGGGGCUUAAAGUCUUGUAAUUGGAAUGAUGGGAAUUUAAACCUCUUCCAGAGUAUCAAUUGGAGGGCAAGUCUGGUGCCAGCAGCCGCGGUAAUUCCAGCUCCAAUAGCGUAUAUUAAAAUUGUUGCAGUUAAAAAGCUCGUAGUUGAAUUUCUGCUGCAUUGCUUGUGUCCCUCUGGGGUCUGUGCAUGUGGCUUUUUUCGGACGGAGUUUCUUUGUCUGAAUGUUUACUUUGAGAAAAUUAGAGUGCUCAAAGCAGGCUUUCGCCUUGAAUAGUUUAGCAUGGAAUAAUAAAGUAGUACUUUGGUUCUAUUUUGUUGGUUUUAGGUACCAAAGUAAUGGUUAAUAGGAACAGUUGGGGGCAUUCGUAUUUAACUGUCAGAGGUGAAAUUCUUAGAUUUGUUAAAGACGAACUACUGCGAAAGCAUUUGCCAAGGAUGUUUUCAUUAAUCAAGAAC
rnacentral:rRNA from 1 species